rnacentral:piRNA from 1 species
UAGGAAAAGAGGAACUCCCCAUUAACAUGC